ensembl:lncRNA
GAACAACCCAGCUGGGCAUUGCUGUUGGCGAUUGGUGCAGGAAGGCUGAAGCUCAUUUCCUUCAGCUGUGUGGCAUCAGAAACAGAGGCAAGCAGCUGAAGCUCACACACCUUUGAUAAUUAAAUGCUAAGUAACGACCAGCUGCAGAGAGCAACUAAUCUCUGCUUGGAAGCACAGCCUGGAGGGAUGCAAGAGGCUUUGGAGCAGCUUAUUUCUCUGCACAAGGGAGAAUGAAAGAAUCUGACUGAUGGGCAGACUUGGGUGACCAAAGUGGCUGCCAGAGCAGCUUCCAGCCUGAAUGCCAACCACACCAAGAACAUUUGUACUAAAACUGAAGCAGCGAUUUCGAGCCCAGGAUUUCUGCCUUUCUCCCCACCCCUCGCAGCAGCUCAGGCCGGGUGAUGGAGCAGCUGGGUCAGGGAGCACAGGGAUACUGCAGUGCAGCUCUCUCACAGCAGUUACUGAGGACAGCAUUUAGAAACAAAAGCAGAGGGAGGACUCUGCUGUAAAAUCACAACCCAGAUCCCCACCCAGCACACAAGAGGAGAGAUGCUGAAGUUAGACAUGGAGGCAGAAUACAAAGACAAGCCCUCACUGCGGAGUCAGCUGGCCCUGCAGGUCAGGCGUUGCCAGCCCUCCUCACAAAGCGAUUUUCUGCAGUGCGUUUGCGUGUGUGCCGUGCAGCAGCACCGUGCAGCGAUGCAGCGCGGAGCCGCGUGUGCUCCUGUCGCCCGGCUGCUUUGCUGCUCGGCUGCGUGCAUCGCAGCAGGGCUCAGCGGGAAGGGCUCCGGCAGGCUAUAUUUAGCAGCAACAACAAAACAGGCAGCCGGAUCAGCUGACUGGGCGCAGAGAGCACGGGUUAGUUGUAGGCAGCACGUAUCCUGCGCGGAAAGCAGGGCGAGAGAGAGAGGGAGAGAGAGCAGGGCACGGAGCUGGGAGGUACCCCAUCACCCGCAGGGGCUGCGGCUCAGUGGGGGUAGUCUGAGGGAAGGCCAGCCCAAAAAGAGUAGAGGACUGCUAUAUGCAUAAAAAGGACGUGAAGCAACAUCAGCUGUCAGCCAUGGCUCCCCGGAUAAGAUUGAGUGUUUCAAAGCCUCUCCCAACCAUCUGCGAAACCCACGAGGAAGCAAUGGAAGACCUAACCAGCAACCCAAAGCACACUGCAAACACUUCAACCAACCCAGACUUGUACUCUAGCGAUGACUACAUUCAAUCUAUCUGCCACCUUGCCAGGCCCACCUUCCCAGGCAUUCCGGAAAGCAGCCAUAGGGUUCGGAACAGAAGAAUCCUGCAGACCCUGGAAGCCAUGUCAUGGUCCCCAUCCCAGAAAGAAAUGUCAGCAUGUAAAUUGACCAAUUUCAUCUCAAAUGUGAUGCCACUGGGAAAAGCUACAUCUGCUCCUGAUGAUGCAGAAGCCGACUUCUGGUCCAGAGAGGACCCCCUGGCACAGAUCUACAGGCGCACAGGAAACCUCUGCUCCUCCAAGGGUUUGUGGAGCAAAAACUCCAGCACUGACUCCUCACAGUGCAUCUCCUCCAGCCACCUGGACUCCCUUCAUCCCCCAGCCAUGAAAGAAGAAGCCCCAGGAAAACCACAUUUCCCACGGAUGUUCAGUUUUCCAAGGUUUCCCUCUCCAAGGCCAAUGCAGAAAGAAACGCUCUGCUCAGAGCUGAGGUGUCUCAGAAGGGAUGAGGGAGCGGUUGUAGGGAGCAAUCACAGUCAAAAGGAAGAUGCUCCCAGGUUUAUUAACACUGAAGAGCUAUUGCUGUGCUCAGGCAGAGGGAAGCUACUAGGAAAUCGGCUCUUGCGCUGCUCUGUAAGGAGGCAGAGUUUGUUUGAGGCAGUGGGUGCUGAUGAAAAAGAAGGGAGAGAAACUUCUCACUGUGACAAAAACGCAGUGGGUGAUGUUCCCAGUAAACAGAGAUACUCUGAGUGCUUCCAGGCAGCUAAAAAAGCUGUGAUCCAUAAUUGGAUUUCAGAGCAUAGAUGCAUGUGGAAAGAAGCAAAGAUAAAGGCUUGUUUGCUCCCAGCCAUUGCUGAAGUGUGAAAAAGUAUCUGUUCCAAAUAAUGUUGUUUGCAAGAAAUAAACACCCUGUGCUCUAGAAGCUCUCCCUGGAGUCCUUAUGUGGAAAACAUGGCUUGAAUGUGCAUGCAAGUCAGAAAACCUUUUGUGAUCCAUCUUACCCCUCAUCAGUGGGCAAAUGGACAACUUGGAGUCCAGUCCUCUGAGAAAGCAGCAAUUAAUUCUCAUUUUGGAAAGACAACGGUUCAUAAAGCAUUGCCCCACACCUAUUGCCUUGAACUGCCCUGAGCAUGGAGGAAAUUGAAGAGCCAUCUGUCUUGAAGAAGUAAUCUGAAGGAAAAAGAAACAACAACCCACACACCUACUGCCAUUUCACAGCAGAUGCCAAGCAGCCAGAUGUUUCACACGCUUGGGUACAGUUAUUCUGAAAGGAACAUUCUGAAUGGUGCUUGGACAGUACUAAAUAUGCCCUCACUGACAUAUGCAUUCACUGAGACACACAGCAUAGAUCACUGCAUCAACACCAGAAUACCACUGGGUCAGUCAUCUGGUAGUGCUUUCAUGUAAAGGAAUACUUUUAAUAGCUGUAAGAAGCCUGUGAUGAGGAUGUGUUAGAGGACAACAUGAAAAAUACUGAAACUGCUCUGGGUGGGACUUUUCCCCUUCCUUAGCACUGCAAAAGUUUAUGACUUUCAUGUCACAAUCUAACCUUUUUGGGGAUGAGUGCCCUGGGUGAGCAUUGCUAACGCUGGUCUGGUGCUGCAAGAAAUCAGGGUCCCAUCGGUGUCUGCACUGCUGUCUGUGCUGGGUGGGAGCACAGCUGGGAGCUGAGAAAGCUCUGUGCACGUAUGGAUUGUGUCUGUGUUUCCCUUCAUCUGUGUGCUUCUCUAGUUUCCCCCACCUGGCCAUGCUAACCACACUGACUUUUCUAUGCCUGGUGCUGUGAGACCGAAACAUGAAGGAAAAAAAAACAUCACAAGAAGUCCCCAGGACAGCCCCUUUGCUGCUCAUGCUGUGUGGGAUGUCUGCAGGAGGAGCAGUGCUGCUGUGGGAUCCAGGUCAUCCCCUAACCGCCUCAUUGAGACAACUUUGUCUCCUGAAGCCUUCACACACUGUCACAGUCCCACAGCCACAGCGCACAGCACUGCAAGAGGAGCGGGUGAGAGAACUGCUAAGUAAUGCCAGUGCAGUUAUUGCUGCCACUGCCACAAAUCAAUCCUUUGGCACGGAGCAGACACGAGGACUGGGCUGUUUGCUCAACUGCAGCCAGGACGGGAAAUACCACCGCAAAGCUGCCAUUAUAGAAGUGCUCACAGGUGGCUUCUGAAACACCCCUGAGUAGAUUAAAUCAGACUGCAACUUCUGCCCGGUACCAACACAAGUGUAAAUAUACUCAAGGAUCAAAAGGUGAGAGAAUCUGAACUGCUCAUUCUCACAUCUCUUACCUCAAAUAUUUUUAUUCCUGUUGAAACUCAUUAAUGCUCCGGAGCCAAACUGCUUCUCAUCUCCAUUUUCAAACUAACCACACAGCAAGAACAAAGGCGAAGGCGGCUGCAGCUUUUUUAGGGUUUACAGAGAGCCUGAGCUGAACAAGGCCACACGGGCUCUGCCUCCCCCUCUUCUGCCCUUCCCUCUUGGGUUUGUAUAGGGAUGGAGGACAUGUUUGCCCUCAUUGCUAUGCGGACAUUUCGGUUUCUGUCCAUGUUUAAGACACUAAUGCCUAGCAAGUUUUGUGCCAACUGCAUGUAUCACCGUGUUUGACCAAGAAAGCAAAUAAAACCCUUACACCAAGCAGCAUUCUCUGUUCUUGCAGGCCCAUGAGUGAACCUCCAGGUGCAGGGCAGGCUGUGACCAAUGGCUCAGGGCUCACUACACAAACACCUGCUCAUUGCACAGCAGGCCCCAAGCACAGGAGCAAUGCCUUGUAACGCCAUUCUGCCUGCCCAGAGCCAGGCAUUAGGCCUGCAUCAAACUGGUGAUGCUGUGCAUUCUCAGACCCCCCCCCGACAAGGCUCCUGGCGAUAACAUCCACCCUCACAGCCGGACCACAGCAUGGCACCAUGCAGCUGCUUCAGAGUGCCCCCAGCACUGAGAUUCCUCCUCGGCUGCCAUAUAUUCCUGUGAAUUCUCAAACUUUCCCAACUGAGCUCCCUAGAAACCUAAAACCCUUGGGGGGGGGAGGAAGCUUCGGAGUGCAGCAAAGAGAGGCACAGACAAGCUCAGGUGAUGUUGGCAUCCAAAUCCCACCAGUAGCUUUCAGUCUCAGCCUUCACAACCUGUUCACAGACAAUGUGUAGGCUAACAUACAACUUCAUUCAUGUGGUCAUGCAGACUUUUACUGCUGCAAGCAAUGAAUGCACUUGGACACAAAAAACCAUGACCAGAAAACCAAAGACAGGCAGAAACAAAGCUGUUCCCUUCUUUUCUCAUCAAUGCCACAACCAGCCCUAAGAGAAUUCAACAGAAUUAGCACAAAGAAGCGGCGGAAGAGGAAAAGGAGGGCUGUAAAGGACAACAGUUACCAUCAGCUCAGAGCAAGGAUGAGGAAGCAACAGCUCUGAGAGCCUGGCUAAUGGUAUCUGGGUAUCAGCACAGUGCAGAACAGCCACAGCACUCCAAGGAGCAAAUGCACUGCAGGUAGGGUCUCUCUGCAGAUAGAAAGACUGUAUUGGUCAGAAACUAAGGCAUGAACUGAUGUAAUGUGUUUAGAAACAGGAAAGGGUCAGGAAUGCGCUUGUCCUAAAGAGAGGACACAAAGGCAAGAUGGGAAAUGGAGAAGGUCUGUGCAGGAGGCCCUUGUGUGAAGUCAGCAAAGCCAGUUUCUGAAAAGUUUAAAUGAGAGUACUAGUGUAGUAGUAGUGUAGUACAGUAGUAGUGUAAAAGCAGCUUUUUUUUAAGAAAAAAAAACAAAUAAAAAUCUUAAAGCUUUGAUAGAAAAUACAGAGCCUAAUUUAGGGGAAACAGAUCCAAGCCUGAGGUGAGAUAUGGGGUCCCUCUACAGAGGUUAGCAGCUGUGUGGAUUGUGCAUCAAGCUUUCCCCUUGCCCUGGAAUGCCACAGUUGGGCCUAAUUACUCACUGAGAGUGUUUUUAGCUAACUUUGAGUCUCUACAAAUGGAGAGUAAUGAUAAAUGGUGUACAAUGAAGUUAAACUGCAUUUAGUGACUAAGAAGGAAUCUCUUAGCUUCAAAAAAAAAAAAAAAAAAAAAAAAAAAAAAAGCCUUGUAUGUCCCAUCAGCAAUGUGAUUAAUGGCCAAGAGUUUUGCAUCUGCAGCAAUAAACACAGGCAUAAAAGAGAUCCAAAACAACAGCCAAAUGCAUUCACAGAUGAAAGGAGCAGGGAAGCCUCUCUGUCCUGGUGGCAGUGGGAGGCAGUGCUACAUCUGUUGCUGCACAGGGAGCUGCACUGUCAGUGACACAUCCUGCAGUACCCAGGCAGAGGCCUCCUGCUCCCAUCUCAGAUGUACGAGCUCAAAAAGCACAAGCUUGCAGUCUUGUGUUUGACCAUCCUUCCGGCUCAGCUGUUUGCCUUGCUCACCACAGCCCCCAUUUAUUUUUUGUGGCUGGCAUCGAAAUCACAGCGGAUAGCAACAAUGAACCCUGUAACACCACAUCUUGGUCUCAUGGCCUUUCCCCAUGCUUUGGGCUUCUCAAGAGUAACUGAAUUUGCCUGACACAAGAUAGAGCUGAUGCAAAAUACACAUUGUGUAAAUUCCCAUCCAAUGUCCCUGGCAAUCACAGCUUUCCUGGAAAUAAAGCUCCUGGAGGCAGCACUUCCAGGGACUGUUGCAAAGAGCUGCAGAAAACCCAGGCAUUUUUGGAAUAUCAUCU